CCUACGGGGGGCAGCAGUGGGGACUAUUGCGCAAUGGGCGAAAGCCUGACGCAGCGACGCCGCGUGAGGGAUGAAGGUCGUCGGAUCGUAAACCUCUGUCAGCAGGGAAGAACGGUCACUGUGCUAAUCAGCAGUGAAUUGACGGUACCUGCAAAGGAAGCACCGGCUAACUCCGUGCCAGCCGCCGCGGUAAUACGGAGGGUGCGAGCGUUAAUCGGAAUUACUGGGCGUAAAGCGCUCGUAGGCGGUAUGUCAAGUCAAGGGUGAAAUCCCCGCGCUCAACGUGGGAACUGCCUUUGAAACUGGCAAACUGGAGUGUGUGAGGGGAUAGUGGAAUUCCAGGUGUAGGAGUGAAAUCCGUAGAUAUCUGGAGGAACAUCAGUGGCGAAGGCGACUAUCUGGCACAUAACUGACGCUGAGGAGCGAAAGCGUGGGUAGCAAACAGGAUUAGAUACCCCAGUAGUC
rnacentral:rRNA from 1 species